UACGUAGGCAGCGAGCGUUGUUCGGAGUUACUGGGCGUAAAGAGUGCGUAGGCGGUGCUCCAAGUCUGGUGUGAAAUCUCCCGCUUAACCGGGAGGGUGCGCCGGAAACUGGGGUGCUGGAGUGUGGGAGAGGUAAGCGGAAUUCCCGGUGUAGCGGUGAAAUGCGUAGAUAUCUGGAGGAACACCGGUGGCGAAGGCGGCAUCCUGGACCGACACUGACGCUAGGAGCGAAAGCCAGGGGAGCAAACGG
rnacentral:rRNA from 1 species